rnacentral:rRNA from 1 species
AUACGGACGGUGCAAGCGUUACUCGGAAUCACUGGGCAUAAAGCGCGCGCAGGCGGCUUGGUAAGUUGGAUGUGAAAGCCUACGGCUCAACCGUAGAACUGCAUCCAAAACUGUCAAGCUAGAGUGUGGGAGAGGAAGAUGGAAUUAGUUGUGUAGGGGUAAAAUCCGUAGAGAUAACUAGGAAUACCAAAAGCGAAGGCAAUCUUCUGGAACACUACUGACGCUGAGGCGCGAAAGCGUGGGGAGCAAACGGGAUUAGAAACCCUUGUAGUCC